GACGAACGCUGGCGGCGUGCCUAAUACAUGCAAGUCGAACGCAGUGGGGAUGGGUGAGUAACACGUGGGUAACAUACCGUCAGAGGGGAGAAAACUUGGAAACAGGUGCUAAACCGAUGCCGGGGGAGGGACCUGCGGGGGAUUAGCUAGGUGGGGAGGUAACGGCUCAGCAAGGCAACGAUGCAUAGCGGACCUGAGAGGGCGACCGGCCACACUGGGACUGAGACACGGCCCAGACUCCUACGGUAGGCAGCAGUGGGGAAUAUUCGGCAAUGGGCGAAAGUCUGACCGAGCAACCCCGCGUGAAUGAAGAAGGCUUUCGGAUCGUAAAGCUCGGUUGGUAGAGAAGCGGUAUCUAACCAGAAAGCAACGGCUAACUACGUGCCAGCAGCCGCGGUAAUAC
rnacentral:rRNA from 1 species